CCCUACGGGGSGCAYCAGGCGCGAAAACUUUACAAUGCGAGCAAUCGUGAUAAGGGAACUCCGAGUGCCUGUAAAAUCAGGCUGUCCGCCAGUUUAAAUAGCUGGUGAAGAAAGGGCCGGGCAAGACCGGUGCCAGCCGCCGCGGUAAUGCCGGCGGCUCGAGUGGUGGCCACUAUUACUGGGCUUAAAGCGUUCGUAGCUGGUCUGUUAAGUCUCUGGGGAAAUCUUCCGGCUUAACCGGAAGGCGUCUCAGGGAUACUGGCAGACUAGGGACCGGAAGAGGUGAGAGGUACUCCAGGGGUAGGAGUGAAAUCUUGUAAUCCUUGAAGGACCACCAGUGGCGAAGGCGUCUCACCAGAACGGACCUGACGGCAAGGGACGAAAGCUAGGGGCACGAACCGGAUUAGAUACCCGGGUAGUCCUAGCCGUAAACGAUACUCGCUAGGUGUCGGCCACGGUGCGACCGUGGUCGGUGCCGUAGGGAAGCCGUGAAGCGAGCCACCUGGGAAG
rnacentral:rRNA from 1 species